UACGGAAGGCAGCAGUGGGGAAUAUUGCACAAUGGGCGCAAGCCUGAUGCAGCCAUGCCGCGUGUAUGAAGAAGGCCUUCGGGUUGUAAAGUACUUUCAGCGGGGAGGAAGGCGGUGAAGUUAAUAGCUUCACCGAUUGACGUUACCCGCAGAAGAAGCACCGGCUAACUCCGUGCCAGCAGCCGCGGUAAUACGGAGGGUGCAAGCGUUAAUCGGAAUUACUGGGCGUAAAGCGCACGCAGGCGGUCUGUCAAGUCGGAUGUGAAAUCCCCGGGCUUAACCUGGGAACUGCAUUCGAAACUGGCAGGCUAGAGUCGUUGUAGAGGGGGUAGAAUUCCAGGUGUAGCGGUGAAAUGCGUAGAGAUCUGGAGGAUACCGGUGGCGAAGGCGGCCCCUGGACAAGACUGACGCUCAGGGUGCGAAAGCGUGGGGAGCAAACGAGGAUUAGGAU
rnacentral:rRNA from 1 species